AAAAUAACAGAUCCUCAUUAGUUACAAUGGUUGGUACAAUAAUAUUGUAUGUUGACAUGGAUCUAAAGUCGAAUAUCUGACGAAUAGCUUGCCAUGAGAAAAGCUAGUUGUAUAAUUUAAAACCGACAUGACACCGGGAACAACAAUUUGUCUUCAAUAAUAUACUGUCGUUCCGUAUCCUGUUUAUCUUAAUUUGUGGUUAUUACUAAGCACGUAUAUUUUUCCCCGCCUCAAUUUUUUUGGAUAUUGAUAUUAGGACUAAUAACUAAUGUGCAUAAUAUUAUUAAUAUUAAUAAUAAUUACUAAGCCGUUAAUAAUUUUGAGAAAUAUAGCAAGUGUAUGUGCAGGGUUUCGUCGCAGUCCGCACCAGCCGUUUACAAAACGCGUAAAUACUAAACAUGUCCUACUAUAACUAAUAUAGCUACCUAAUAUGACUACCUGUGUCAAAAAUGAGACAGUUCGAUUUUAUAUCGAUAUUAUGCCAUUUUGUCCUACAUUUGUCGAUGUGCUGAACGGUAUUUUAUAAUAUAUUUUGGCUAUUUCCGAACAUAGUAAACGGUAUUUUUGUAUAGGCUUUUCGGUUCGUGGACUGCAUAAAAUUGGCUUGAAUGGCUGCACCCCAACCAACGUCUAACACACAAAUAAUAUCUUUUUAUCUAACUUUUAGUUACGGUACUGUUUAUAAUAUAGAUGGAAAUAAUCAUAAAAAUAUGGCACGAUUAAAAACGAAAAUCACUACGAAUCGUCUUAAUAAAUUAUUACUUAUCGUUUGAAAUAACUGGUAAAUAGAUGUUUCGUCCCCGUCAAACAAUAUUAAGUUUACAGACGUUUCG